UACAGAGGUCCCAAGCGUUGUUCGGAUUCACUGGGCGUAAAGGGUGCGCAGGUGGGCUGGUAAGUUCGAUGUGAAAGCCCCGGGCUUAACCCGGGAAAGGCAUUGGAUACUACUGGUCUGGAGGAUUGGAGGGGGGACUGGAAUUCUUGGUGUAGCAGUGAAAUGCGUAGAUAUCAAGAGGAACACCAGUGGCGAAGGCGAGUCCCUGGACAAUACCUGACGCUGAGGCACGAAAGCGUGGGGAGCAAACAGG
rnacentral:rRNA from 1 species